ACAUCUUCCUAAAUCAAGGCUUUAAACCUUGAGUGAUAUUUCCAUUGAGUGAAUAUUUCAAUAAUUUAGUUUCUAUUUUAUUUUAAUCAGGCUCUAUUUAUUUACCAAAAAAACAACAAAGAAUAAAUCGAUUAAUUUAUGUUGAAGUAUUAGCUUUCUUCUCUCAAGCCCCUUCCUGUAGGCAAGCUAUUCAUGGUUGAUAAUGGCUUUCGGUAGUCAUUCUAGGGUAUGGGAAUCACUUUCAGCCGUUACUUGCUGCAGAUCUCUAGUUUUUGCCUAUGAUAGCACUUGUAUCUUACAGAUCGGUUUGGCAGCUGAAUCCCCUGAUUAGGGUGAAGAACUGGCUAUGGAUGCUGUCAAAUUGAUGCAAUCAUUGCUUUAUCGAGCUGUUAUGAAGUUCGGAGCUCGUAAUAAUUGCCAGAGAGCAAUUUGGCCACCUUAUCUCUUUAUCCUGGCAGUUAUUUUGCAGCUACUUGGAGAAAAAAGAAUUGCUAUAGUUGGUGGUGAAACGAUUUAGGGGUUUCACAACUUCUGACCUGGUGCUUCUUUUCAUAUCUUUGUCCAUGUCUGAACUCCAAGGAGCAACUAUUUCAUGCUUCCAUUUUCUUUCUGCUGAUUUUAAUGUUUCUCAUAUCCCAAAUGGAUUACUGCCAAGGCAGUUGAAAAGCCAGGUCAACCUGUCUGACUUGACCAACACCAAGUGAACUGACCCAAAUUUAUCAGCUUUACUGCACAAUCUAUUGGGCUUGGGUAAAAUUUGCUGAAGUGCUAUUGUUUCAGGUUCAGUUUUUUAACAACGGUAUCAAUUUUAAUUUGUAAACUGACUUAUAAUUUUAAAAGCACAGUUUGUUUUUCCCAAAUUGCUUGGUUACUUGGAGAUGGGAUUUCUUCUAAUACUUGUUGAUGUCACUCGUGUCAUUGCUGUUGCCGAAGGGAUUAUUAGGUGUACCCGAUACGCAUGCACUCCUCUCUAAAAAAUAUGAGUCCCACCUUCCUAAAAAUAAGAAUAACUAAUUUUUUGUAUCUAAAGGAGACUACAUUUUAGUUCUACCGGUGUAUCCAAUAAUUAGCCCUGUUGCUGUUGUUGUCUUUCUAAGGAUUGUAAGGACCAAUGUUUGGUUAGGUAUAUGUUCUUGGAAAAUGGGAAGUCUGUAGCCUGGCGUAGGAGAUAAGAUUGGCCUGAACUUAAAUUAAUAUGAAUAUAAAUUUCUAAUGGAGGGCUGCAACUGCAGUUGGCCAAUUUCUUGCUAGGAAGAUGUAACUGGACAUUUAAAUUUAUCCAAUCUAAUGAGUGAUGGAAAUCCAUUCAAUUUGGUUUAUUUGUUUCAUAACCAGCUUGAAACACAGGUCAGGCCAAGACCCAACCAAACCUGACUUAGAGCUUUUUACACUCCCUAUUACCAACUUUCUAACAGGUCAUGCCUUUUUGUCCCCAGUGAUCUGCCACUUGAUUUUAGAUUAUAUUUUAUGUGCUUUUUUUUUCUCCCAAUUUUCUUCUAUUUGCAAGUGUGGAUUACAUUUAUUGGAGAGAAACUUUAUGCUACACUAGGAAAAUAUGUGAUCAACAACCCAUUGGCAGUUCAUGAUAGAUAGAAUUUGAAACUAGACUCUUUCAGGCUUUUUGAACUCCCAUGUGCAUUAUAUUCACUGUAUCCUUUAUUCAAGGUAAUUUUUAAUUUAGCAUUAUGCUAACAUCUAACUUCUUAAGUUGCUACUUUGGGAAACCAGUCAUAACGCAUUUUGUCCUGUUUGUUUCAAGAAGUUUUCUUUGUUACUCGUGCUCUUGGCUUUCCAACAUGUCUUCUCUCCAUUUGUUUAUUUUUAGAAUUUAUGUUUGGUGGCAUCUUUGAUAACUAUGCUUGAAGUAGGCUAGCAAGAAAUUUUUGUCAAAAGCAUUAGUCUUUUAAAUUAUCAUCUUCAUCCAUUCUAUCCGUUUAUUGUUUAUCGCUUAAUUAAAAUGUCCACUAAGCCUUGAGAGUUAUAAAUAGGGAUAACCCAGCGGGAUGUCAUAAUUUUUCUUGCAUCUCAUCCCAAUGAAAUUUGAACUGAGUACCCAAAAGUUGGAAUUCCCUAGUUCAAACACUUGAAGCGUCUUCUCAGGAGCAAACAACGUUUAGCCCAGCUUAUGUAUCAAGUGUGAAUUAAGUGACAAUUCUAUAUGGUUAUAUUGGUUAGGAACAUCCCUGGCAAAUGAGCAGGUGAGGCCAUUUUGCCAACUGUAGGCUAUGAUGCUGUUCUGAAAAUUAGUGUUUAGUUUUGAAAACAUUCUUUUUCCAUGGCUAGCGGCCGGUGUUGCUAUGAGAUGGAACAUUAGUGUUGAAUUUUGAAAACAUGCUUUCUUCAUGGCUAGCUCCUAGCUUCAUUGCAAUGAGAUGGAUACAAAUGGAAUAUCUUUUAAAUAUGAAAGAGUUUUUGUUGAGGCUGGGACAAACUUAUCAAGAUUCAACGUCAUAUAGAAUUUGCCAGGCAGUUCUGUUGCUACUCCUGAUCCUCAAUUUCAUUAUUUCUUGGCUGAAUAUAUUGGAGUCUUACCCUCUUGAGAGCAUAAUGACCGUUAUAGUGGCAUUCCUUUUUUUUGCAUGAAUAUUGUAUGGAAUUGAUAGCAAUGUCCAGAAAAGACAUUCAGAGGAGACUAGAUUUUUAAUAUUUAUCUAAUCUGCCGUCCUUCGUUGA